rnacentral:misc_RNA from 1 species
GAUUCCCGGUGAAAUUAGUUGUUGAAUUUGAGAUUUCUGGGCUAAAAUGUUGUUUUCGUUCUUGAAAUGAAGUUGGGGUUCUUCUUUUUUGUUGUGAUGACUGUAAUUUUGAUCUCUCUUGGUUUUUGUUGAACCCAUAAGAGGUGGUUUGCUUUUGAGAAUCAUAAAUUUAGGAUCUUUUUAGUGGGUUUAGAGUAUUGUUAUGGAG